GACGAACGCUGGCGGCGUGCUUAACACAUGCAAGUCGAGCGACAGUGUUCUUCGGGACAUAUGGAGCGGCGAACGGGUGAGUAACACGUGGGCAACCUGCCCUCAGCUCUGGGAUAACUCCGGGAAACCGGGGCUAAUACCGGAUACGACCACUUCGGGCAUCUGAUGGUGGUGGAAAGUUUUUCGGCUGGGGAUGGGCCCGCGGCCUAUCAGCUUGUUGGUGGGGUGAUGGCCUACCAAGGCGACGACGGGUAGCCGGCCUGAGAGGGCGAUCGGC
rnacentral:rRNA from 1 species